GUGGGGAAUCUUGCGCAAUGGGCGAAAGCCUGACGCAGCCAUGCCGUGUGAAUGAUGAAGGUCUUAGGAUUGUAAAAUUCUUUCACCGGGGACGAUAAUGACGGUACCCGGAGAAGAAGCUCCGGCUAACUUCGUGCCAGCAGCCGCGGUAAUACGAAGGGGGCUAGCGUUGCUCGGAAUUACUGGGCGUAAAGGGCGCGUAGGCGGACAGCUUAGUCAGAGGUGAAAGCCCAGGGCUCAACCUUGGAAUUGCCUUUGAUACUGGCUGUCUUGAGUUUGGGAGAGGUGAGUGGAACUCCGAGUGUAGAGGUGAAAUUCGUAGAUAUUCGGAAGAACACCAGUGGCGAAGGCGACUCACUGGCCCAAUACUGACGCUGAGGCGCGAAAGCGUGGGGAGCAAACAGGAUUAGAUACCCCGGUAGUCC
rnacentral:rRNA from 1 species